AGACUGCAACUCAGAAGGAAUUGACGGGCGCCCGCCCAAGCGGUGCAGUAUGUGGUUUAAUUCAAUGCAACGCGAACAACCUUACCUGGCCUUGACAUGUCAAGAACUUUCCAGAGAUGGAUUGGCUGCCUUCAGGAACUCUAACACAGGCGCUGCCUGGCUGUCCUCAGCUCGUGUCGUGAGAUGUUGGGUUAAGUCCCGCAACGAGCGCAACCCUUGUCCUUACUUGCCAGCACGUAAUGCUGGGAACUCUAAGGAGACCGCCGGUGACAAACCGGAGGAAGGUGGGGAUGACGUCAAGUCAUCAUGGCCCUUACGACCAGGGCUACACACGUGCUACAAUGGCAGGGACAGAGGGCUGCAAACCCUCGAGGGCAAGCCAAUCCCACAAACCCUAUCUCAGUCCGGAUUGGAGUCUGCAACUCGACUCCAUGAAGUCUGAAUCGCUAGUAAUCGCGUAUCAGCAUUGCUGCGGCUGAAUACGUUCCCGGGCCUUGUACACACCGACCGUCACACCAUGGCGAGUUAUGUUGCACCCUAAGCGAGGUAGCGUUAUCCUUCGGCGAGGGCGCUAUGCCACGGUGUGACGCGAUGACUGGGGGUGAAGUCGUAACAAGGUCAACCGUAA
rnacentral:rRNA from 1 species